UGUCUUGAUCAUCAUGUUCAGUAUCACCAGUGUAGUCAUCUUCAUGACUACCGUGCUCUCGAUCUCCCUCCUUUUCUUCUUUGUGCUUCUCUUUAUCUUCGGUGUGGAAAUCAUCAAAUCGCCUUAGGAGAGCAGCAAGGCUUUUGUCCACACUAGCAACGGAUUCCUCCAAACUUGUGAGCUUGUUGUUUGUGGCAAUCUGCGUAGCCUCCAACUGCCCCAGCUUUUCAUUUGUCACCUGCAAGUCGUUAUCAAGUCCCUCUGUGUGCAGCUUCACUUUCCUUUCAAAAUGUUGUAUGAUGCCCUUAGUGCGAGGUGUAUGUGGUGUUUCGUUACCAUCAUCUGCCCCUGUCAUGGUGCAAAGACAAAGACAACAAAAAGGCAAGUGAAGAAAUAAAAGCCCUACAACUACUAGGAUGUAGCUACAGCAAGUCGCUCACACUCAACCUGUAACACAAGUUCUUACCAAUUCUUACCUUGCU
rnacentral:lncRNA from 1 species